AUACGGAGGAUCCGAGCGUUAUCCGGAUUUAUUGGGUUUAAAGGGUGCGCAGGCGGGAGAUUAAGUCGGCGGUGAAAUUUUGCAGCUCAACUGUAAAAGUGCCUUCGAAACUGGUUUCCUUGAGUGUAGAUGAAGUAGGCGGAAUUUGUGGUGUAGCGGUGAAAUGCAUAGAUAUCACGAGGAACUCCGAUUGCGCAGGCAGCUUACUAAACUACUACUGACGCUCAGGCACGAAGGCGUGGGGAUCAAACAGGAUUAGAUACCCUGGUAGUCCACGCAGUAAACGAUGAUUACUAGCUGUUUGCGAUACAAUGUAAGCGGCUGAGCGAAAGCGUUAAGUAAUCCACCUGGGGAGUACGUUCGCAAGAAUGAAACUCAAAGGAAUUGGCGGGG
rnacentral:rRNA from 1 species